rnacentral:rRNA from 1 species
GAUGAACGCUGGCGGCGUGCUUAACACAUGCAAGUCGAACGAUGAAGCCCAGCUUGCUGGGUGGAUUAGUGGCGAACGGGUGAGUAACACGUGAGUAACCUGCCCUUAACUCUGGGAUAAGCCUGGGAAACUGGGUCUAAUACCGGAUAGGAGCGCCUACCGCAUGGUGGGUGUUGGAAAGAUUUAUCGGUUUUGGAUGGACUCGCGGCCUAUCAGCUUGUUGGUGAGGUAAUGGCUCACCAAGGCGACGACGGGUAGCCGGCCUGAGAGGGUGACCGGCCACACUGGGACUGAGACACGGCCCAGACUCCUACGGGAGGCAGCAGUGGGGGAUAUUGCACAAUGGGCGAAAGCCUGAUGCAGCGACGCCGCGUGAGGGAUGACGGCCUUCGGGUUGUAAACCUCUUUCAGUAGGGAAGAAGCGAAAGUGACGGUACCUGCAGAAGAAGUACCGGCUAACUACGUG